UUUGCCAGAAGCGGUAGAUUCAAACUGAGAUGGAUGCGAAAAGCUGUUUUUAUUUCUUGUAAUACGGGAUAAUUUAGAGAUGCUUCUGGUUAUUAUGCUAAGAUGGGGAAUCUUCACCACCACCAAUGGUAGCUCUAGCUCCUGGUUAUUAUGCAGAGAUGGAGAAUCUUCACCACCACCAAUGGUAGCACCGGCUCCUGGUUAUUAUGCAGAGAUGGAGAAUCUUCACCACCACCAAUGGUAGCACCGGCUCCUGGUUAUUAUGCAGAGAUGGAGAAUCUUCACCACCACCAAUGGUAGCUCUGGCUCCUGGUUAUUAUGCAGAGAUGGAGAAUCUUCACCACCACCAAUGGUAGCUCUGGCUCCUGGUUAUUAUGCAGAGAUGGAGAAUCUUCACCACCACCAAUGGUAGCUCUGGCUCCUGGUUAUUAUGCAGAGAUGGGGAAUCUUCACCACCACCAAUGGUAGCACUGGCUCCUGGUUAUUAUGCAGAGAUGGAGAAUCUUCACCACCACCAAUGGUAGCUCUGGCUCCUGGUUAUUAUGCAGAGAUGGGGAAUCUUCACCACCACCAAUGGUAGCUCUGGCUCCUGGUUAUUAUGCAGAGAUGGAGAAUCUUCACCACCACCAAUGGUAGCACUGGCUCCUGGUUAUUAUGCAGAGAUGGAGAAUCUUCACCACCACCAAUGGUAGCUCUGGCUCCUGGUUAUUAUGCAGAGAUGGAGAAUCUUCAGAAGUAGAGAGAUGAUGCUAUAGAAUAGGCAGAGAAACUGGAGGUUGGAUGAAUACCGGUCAAGGACAAGCUGGUAGCUGUCAACAAUCAACCAUUAAUGGUUAUGACCUUGAAAGAAACCCAGGCUGUUACAAGAAUCAAUAUAAACAGGCACAGACUGCUAUCCAAGAGAGCAAAGCCCUGAAAUCAAGGGUUCAUCUGGACGUCAUCAGAAGUCACCCAACAUGAAGCAAGCAAUAUGGACAAGGUUAGGAAGAAGUCAUUGUCAUGCUGGAGGGAUUCCAUGACAUUUGCUCCAGCAACAAUUGCUCUGUUUUAAAUUCUACACAUGAAACAAUUGACUAACUUCAACCCUGGAUUUAACACUUUACUCUACCCCUUUAGAACCUAUUCUUAAACCUAAUAUAAAACCCUAUUGCAAACCUAACCCUAACCCUGCAUCUUACAUAAAACGAAGUCCGGAGCAAUUGUUGCAGGAGCAUAUGUCUUGUCACCACUGGAAGAUGGACUCGACAAACUCAGUCAAAGGUCAAGAAAAUUAUCAGAAAUAUGCUGUGAGAUCCGGUGCUUUACCUCAUGGCUGAGAGGAGGCUUACAAAGCUGAUAGAUGACAGUGCUAUUUAAA